UACGUAGGGGGCAAGCGUUGUCCGGAUUUAUUGGGCGUAAAGAGCGUGUAGGCGGCUAGGUAGGUCCGUUGUGAAAACUCGAGGCUCAACCUCGAGACGCCGAUGGAAACCAUCUAGCUAGAGUCCGGAAGAGGAGAGUGGAAUUCCUGGUGUAGCGGUGAAAUGCGCAGAUAUCAGGAAGAACACCCGUGGCUAAGGCGGCUCUCUGGAACGCAACUGACGCUGAGACGCGAAAGCGUGGGGAGCAAACAGG
rnacentral:rRNA from 1 species